GCUGUAUGUGGCACGGUGGCUUCUCUUCUCUUGCACCCUGAGCUGUAGUCUGAGAGGUCCUCUGGCCUUCAGUGAGCACCUGGCAGCUAAACAGCCCCCAGUGUGUCCCAGUUAGGCUCAGCAGGCUGAAGACCACAGAUGGAUUCUAUUAUUUUGUUAAAAUACUAAAUCUGGAGGUAAAGGAUUUCUCUCACACUCAGGCUGAGGGACUUUGUGAUCACACAUAAUCAUGUAGG
rnacentral:lncRNA from 1 species